GACGAACGCUGGCGGCGUGCUUAACACAUGCAAGUCGAACGGAGAUUCAGCAAUGGAUCUUAGUGGCGAACGGGUGAGUAACGCGUAGGCAAUCUGCCUUCUAGAUGGGGACAACAUCCCGAAAGGGGUGCUAAUACCGAAUGUUGUAGUUGGUUCGCAUGGACUAGCUACUAAAGGUGGCCUCUGAAUAUGCUACCGCUAGAAGAUGAGCCUGCGUCUGAUUAGCUAGUUGGGGGGGUAACGGCCCACCAAGGCUUCGAUCAGUAGCCGGUCUGAGAGGAUGAACGGCCACACUGGGACUGAGACACGGCCCAGACUCCUACGGGAGGCAGCAGUGGGGAAUCUUCCGCAAUGGACGAAAGUCUGACGGAGCAACGCCGCGUGAGUGAAGAAGGUUUUCGGAUCGUAAAGCUCUUUCGUUAGGGACGAACGUGCUCUUUGUGAAUAAUGAGGAGUAAUGACGGUACCUAAAUAAGAAGCCACGGCUAACUACGUGCCAGCCGCCGCUGUAA
rnacentral:rRNA from 1 species